AUCAGCUGACUUUAUAAACAAUACAAGCGAAGAUUUAUAUUUCAUACAUUAAAACAUAAAAAUGACUGAAACUAACUUAAAACAGUGCAGAAUUUGUCUGGCUACCGAUGAUAAAGUACCUGUAAGCGACGCAUCAUGUUAUAUUGAAUUUUUCAGUCAAGUUCUUCCAUUGAAAAAUAUAAAUGGAAAAUUCCUGCUCUGCAUUUGGUGCAAGUCUGCUUUGAAAAAAGCAUUAACUGUUGUGACUAUGUUACUGGAAUCAGAAAAAAAUAUGCACGAUAAGAACUCAACAGCAGUUUCAAGCAAGCUCAAAAGUCUAUACAAUUUCAAUAUUGUUCAGAAUCCUCAUAUUGAUAUACCUCCAUUUAAUAUAGAAGAGAAAAAUAUAACUGAAGAAAUAGAUCAUACUACUCUACCAGAAAUUGAAAAUGAAAUAAAGAACGAAGACUUAA